AGAGUUUGAUCCUGGCUCAGGAUGAACGCUAGCGGCAGGCUUAAUACAUGCAAGUCGUGGGGCAGCAUGAGUGUAGCAAUACAUUUGAUGGCGACCGGCAAACGGGUGCGGAACACGUACACAACCUUCCUUUAAGUGGGGAAUAGCCCAGAGAAAUUUGGAUUAAUACCCCGUAACAUUUUGAAGUGGCAUCACUUUAUAAUUAUAGCUACGGCGCUUAAUGAUGGGUGUGCGUCUGAUUAGGUAGUUGGCGGAGUAAUAGCCCACCAAGCCUACGAUCAGUAACUGGUGUGAGAGCACGACCAGUCACACGGGCACUGAGACACGGGCCCGACUCCUACGGGAGGCAGCAGUAAGGAAUAUUGGGCAAUGGACGCAAGUCUGACCCAGCCAUGCCGCGUGGAGGAUGAAGGUCCUCUGGAUUGUAAACUUCUUUUAUCUGGGAAGAAACCCAUCUUUUCUUGGGUGGUUGACGGUACCAGAUGAAUAAGCACCGGCUAACUCCGUGCCAGCAGCCGCGGUAAUACGGAGGGUGCAAGCGUUAUCCGGAUUCACUGGGUUUAAAGGGUGCGUAGGUGGGCAGGUAAGUCAGUGGUGAAAUCCUGUAGCUUAACUACAGAACUGCCAUUGAUACUAUUUGUCUUGAAUACCCUGGAGGUGAGCGGAAUAUGUCAUGUAGCGGUGAAAUGCUUAGAUAUGACAUAGAACAUCUAUUGCGAAGGCAGCUCACUACGGGAAUAUUGACGCUGAGGCACGAAAGCGUGGGGAUCAAACAGGAUUAGAUACCCUAGUAGUCC
rnacentral:rRNA from 1 species